rnacentral:rRNA from 1 species
UACGGAGGAUCCGAGCGUUAUCCGGAUUUAUUGGGUUUAAAGGGUGCGCAGGCGGGAGAUUAAGUCGGCGGUGAAAUUUUGCAGCUCAACUGUAAAAGUGCCUUCGAAACUGGUUUCCUUGAGUGUGGAUGAAGUAGGCGGAAUUUGUGGUGUAGCGGUGAAAUGCAUAGAUAUCACGAGGAACUCCGAUUGCGCAGGCAGCUUACUAAACCAUAACUGACGCUCAUGCACGAAGGCGUGGGGAUCAAACAGGAUUAGAUACCCCGGUAGU